AUUGAACGCUGGCGGCAUGCCUUACACAUGCAAGUCGAACGGCAGCACGGGUGCUUGCACCUGUUGGCGAGUGGCGCACGGGUGAGUAAUACAUCGGUACAUGUCCCGUAGUGGGGGAUAGCCCGGCGAAAGCCGGAUUAAUACCGCAUACGAUCUACGGAUGCAAGCGGGGGACCUUCGGGCCUCGCGCUCUAGUGUUGGCCGAUGGCUGAUUAGCUAGUUGGUGGGGUAAAGGACUACCAAGGCGACGAUCAGUAGCUGGUCUGAGAGGACGACCAGCCACACUGGGACUGAGACACGGCCCAGACUCCUACGGGAGGCAGCAGUGGGGAAUGUUGGACAAUGGGCGAAAGCCUGAUCCAGCAAUGCCGCGUGUGUGAAGAAGGCCUUCGGGUUGUAAAGCACUUUUGUCCGGAAAGAAAUACUUGGCCCUAAUACGGUCGGGGGAUGACGGUACCGGAAGAAUAAGCACCGGCUAACUACGUG
rnacentral:rRNA from 1 species